rnacentral:sRNA from 1 species
GCCAGGCAUGGUGGGCCAGGCCUGUAAUUCUAGCAGCUCAGGAGGCUGAGGCAGGAGGAUCCCCAGUUCAAAGCUAGGAGCUAAGCAACUCAGUGAGACCCUGUCUCUA